AUACGGAGGAUGCGAGCGUUAUCCGAAUUUAUUGGGUUUAAAGGGAGCGUAGGCGGGAGCUUAAGUCAGCGGUUAAAUGGUGCGGCUCAACCGUGCCCUGCCGUUGAAACUGGGUUUCUUGAGAGUGCAAGAGGCGGAUGGAAUUCAUGGUGUAGCGGUGAAAUGCUUAGAUAUCAUGAAGAACUCCGAUUGCGAAGGCAGUCCGCUGGGGCACGUCUGACGCUGAUGCUCGAAGGUGCGGGAAUCAAACAGGAUUAGAUACCCUGGUAGUCCGCACGGUAAACGAUGAUUACCCGCUGUCGGCGGUAGACAGUCGGCGGCCAAGCGAAAGCGAUAAGUAAUCCACCUGGGGAGUACGCCGGCAACGGUGAAACUUAAAGGAAUUGACGGGG
rnacentral:rRNA from 1 species